AUUGAGCGCUGGCGGAAUGCUUUACACAUGCAAGUCGAACGGUAGAGGGGGCAACCCCUCGAGAGUGGCGUACGGGUGAGUAAUAUAUCGGAACGUGCCCAGUCGUGGGGGAUAACGUAGCGAAAGUUACGCUAAUACCGCAUACGAUCUAAGGAUGAAAGCGGGGGAUCGCAAGACCUCGCGCGAUUGGAGCGGCCGAUAUCAGAUUAGGUAGUUGGUGGGGUAAAGGCUCACCAAGCCAACGAUCUGUAGCUGGUCUGAGAGGACGACCAGCAACACUGGAACGGAGACACGGUCCAGACGCCUACGGGAGGCAGCAGUGGGGAAUUUUGGACAAUGGACGCAAGUCUGAUCCAGCCAUUCCGCGUGCAGGAUGAAGGCCCUCGGGUUGUAAACUGCUUUUGUACGGAACGAAAAGGUCUCUCUUAAUACGGGGGACUCAUGACGGUACCGUAAGAAUAAGCACCGGCUAACUACGUGCCAGCAGCCGCAGUAA
rnacentral:rRNA from 1 species